GAUGAACGCUGGCGGCGUGCCUAAUACAUGCAAGUCGAGCGAACAGAUAAGGAGCUUGCUCCUUUGACGUUAGCGGCGGACGGGUGAGUAACACGUGGGUAACCUACCUAUAAGACUGGGAUAACUUCGGGAAACCGGAGCUAAUACCGGAUAACAUUUGGAACCGCAUGGUUCUAAAGUGAAAGAUGGUUUUGCUAUCACUUAUAGAUGGACCCGCGCCGUAUUAGCUAGUUGGUAAGGUAACGGCUUACCAAGGCGACGAUACGUAGCCGACCUGAGAGGGUGAUCGGCCACACUGGAACUGAGACACGGUCCAGACUCCUACGGGAGGCAGCAGUAGGGAAUCUUCCGCAAUGGGCGAAAGCCUGACGGAGCAACGCCGCGUGAGUGAUGAGGGGUUUCGGCUCGUAAAACUCUGUUAUUAGGGAAGAACAAACGUGUAAGUAACUGUGCACGUCUUGACGGUACCUAAUCAGAAAGCCACGGCUAACUACGUG
rnacentral:rRNA from 1 species